UCCGGGGUAGCUCAAUUGGCAGAUGCGCUCGGCUGUUAACCGAGAGGUUGUGGGUUCGAGUCCCACCCCCGGAG
rnacentral:tRNA from 1 species